GAUGAACGCUGGCGGCGUGCCUAAUACAUGCAAGUCGAACGCUUCACUUCGGUGAAGAGUGGCGAACGGGUGAGUAAUACAUAAGUAACCUGGCAUCUACAGGGGGAUAACUGAUGGAAACGUCAGCUAGACCGCAUAGGUGUAGAGAUCGCAUGAACUCUAUAUGAAAAGUGCUACGGGACUGGUAGAUGAUGGACUUAUGGCGCAUUAGCUUGUUGGUAGGGUAACGGCCUACCAAGGCGACGAUGCGUAGCCGACCUGAGAGGGUGACCGGCCACACUGGGACUGAGGCACGGCCCAGACUCCUAAGGGAGGCAGCAGUAGGGAAUUUUCGGCAAUGGGGGAAACCCUGACCGAGCAACGCCGCGUGAAGGAAGAAGUAAUUCGUUAUGUAAACUUCUGUCAUAGAGGAAGAACGGUGGAUAUAGGGAAUGAUAUCCAAGUGACGGUACUCUAUAAGAAAGCCACGGCUAACUACGUG
rnacentral:rRNA from 1 species